CGCAGCCGCGGUAAUUCCAGCUCCAAUAGCGUAUAUUAAAGUUGUUGCAGUUAAAAAGCUCGUAGUUGAAUUUCGGGAUCAAAUUGUCGGUCGUGCCUCGGUACGCACUGGUAUUAUUGGUUCCUACCUUCUGAAGAACCGCGAUGUCAUUAAUUUGGUGUCGUGGGGAAUCAGGACUGUUACUUUGAAAAAAUUAGAGUGUUUAAAGCAGGCUUACGCUUGAAUACAUUAGCAUGGAAUAAUGAAAUGGGACGUUUGAUUCUAUUUUGUUGGUUUCUAGGAUUGACGUAAUGAUUAAUAGGGAUAGUUGGGGGCAUUAGUAUUCAAUUGUCAGAGGUGAAAUUCUUGGAUUUAUUGAAGACUAACUACUGCGAAAGCAUUUGCCAAGGAUGUUUUCAUUAAUCAAGAACGAAAGUUAGGGGGAUCGAAGACGAUCAGAUACCGUCGUAGUCUUAACCAUAAACUAUGCCGACUAGGGAUCGGAUGAUGUUAAUUUUUUAAUGACUCAUUCGGCGCCUUACGG
rnacentral:rRNA from 1 species